GUUACAACGUAAUCAACAUAUUUACUCCAUGUAGUAUUCUUAGUAAAAAUUAUUCCUAAAAAUUUUAUUUCAUCCGAUAUAUUAAGCUCGAUGUCACUAUAAUAUAUUUGAAUAUUAAAUUUGGGAUAGUUAUUGUUAAAAACUACUACAUUUGUUUUGUCUAUGUUAACAUCUAAAUUUAAAUAUUUAAAAUAAUUGUGUAGCUUAAUUAAAGCUUCAUUUAAAACCUUAGUACAUUUAUCAAUAUUUGAGUCAUUACUGUAAACUACUAAAUCAUCAGCGUAUUGAAGAUUACUAACAUUAGAACCUAAAACUAAAUUUAAUCUACGUAUGUACAGAAUAAAUAAUAAAGGACUUAAAAUUCCACCUUGAGAUACACCUUUGUAAGAAUAUCUAGGGCCUAUUAAUGAAUUACAACUUUUGACGUAGACUUCUCUACCAUGUAAGAAAUUAAAUAUCCAGGAAAUUAAUUUAUUUGGUAUUCCUAGCAACACCAAUUCUUUUGUCAGUAUAUGUAAAUUAACAUUAUUGAAAGCUCCCACGAUGUCGAAAAAAACAGCGAUAAAACAUUGAUUUUGUAAAGAGGAUUUAUAAAUAUCUAGUUGAAGAUUUGCUAUACUUUGUCUCGAAGAACGACCUUUACGAAAACCGAAUUGAUUAGAUGGUAAAUGGUAACUCCCCAUCGGGUCAUCAACCACCUUCCAAUAGCAAGAUAAGGCUAAUGAUGAAGAAACAGCUGUGAGAUCUAAAGCAUUUGGCUUCCAAAUGUGUGUUCCUACAGUAGUUUUUUGUCCAUCAUUUAAAAGAAUUAAAUCAUUUUCUUGUACACAUUCUAAAACAUUGGAA